AAAGUACUCCCUCCGUCCCAAAAUUAUUGUCUUAGAUUUUUCCAGAUACGGAUGUAUCAAGUCACAUUUUAGUAUUAGAUACAUCCGUAUCUAGACAAAUCUAAGACAAGAAAUUUGGGACAGAGGGAGUAGUUG
rfam:Triticum aestivum genome assembly, contig: Triticum_aestivum_CS42_TGACv1_scaffold_394004_5AS